AUGGAGGUAGGUGGCGGGCGUUGGGGAAGGAGGAGUGCGGUGCGCGGGGGAGGGAAGUGGCCGGCGCGCGGUGCAGAGAGGCGGUCGGCGCAGGGAAGGAGGGUGGCGGCGCGCGGUGGAGGGAGGUGGACGGCGCGGGGGAAGGAUGAGGGAGGGGGCGGCGCGCAGGGCAGGGAUGCCGCCGGCGCGGUGGAAGGAGGCGGCGACGGUGGGGGGCGUGGGUGCGAGAGGGUAAGGGAAGGGCUGGUGCUGGGUGUCCUUUUCUUCUCUCGAGUGCCGGUGCUGCCGGCUGGCGUCAAGUUCGAUCCCACGGAUCAGGAGCUGAUCGAGCACCUUGAGGCCAAAGUGAGUGCUGACAGCGCGAGAUCUCACCCUCUCAUUGAUUUGUUCAUACCAACCAUCGACAGCGAGCACGGCAUAUGCUACACCCAUCCUGAGAAAUUUCCAGGUAUCACACUGAGUGGCCUAAGCAAGCAUUUCUUCCAGCGCAAUUUCAGGGCGUUCAAAAGGGGCACGUGGACGCGUCGCAAGAUACAGUCGGACCGGCAGACGGGCGGCAAAAAGGUUCUGGUGCUGCACACCAACAAGAACUUCGACCAGCUGAGGACCAACUGGGUGAUGCACCAGUACCACCUCGGGGACCUGGAGCAAGAGAAGGAGCAGGAGCUGGCCCAGCCCAUGACGACAACGGGGCACAAAGAUCCAUUAGCUAUCUACUGGCCUCUGGCCUGCCAGCGUUAG
rnacentral:rRNA from 1 species